CCUACGGGAGGCAGCAGUGAGGAAUAUUGGUCAAUGGGCGUAAGCCUGAACCAGCCAAGUCGCGUGAGGGAUGAAGGUUCUAUGGAUCGUAAACCUCUUUUAUCAGGGAAUAAAGGGUGGGACGCGUGCUGUUUUGUAUGUACCUUAUGAAAAAGGAUCGGCUAACUCCGUGCCAGCAGCCGCGGUAAUACGGAGGAUCCGAGCGUUAUCCGGAUUUAUUGGGUUUAAAGGGUGCGUAGGCGGCCUUUUAAGUCAGCGGUUAAAGUCUGUGGCUCAACCAUAGAAUGGCCGUUGAAACUGGGAGGCUUGAGUAUGUUUGAGGCAGGCGGAAUGCGUGGUGUAGCGGUGAAAUGCUUAGAUAUCACGCAGAACCCCGAUUGCGAAGGCAGCCUGCCAAGCCAUGACUGACGCUGAUGCACGAAAGCGUGGGGAUCAAACAGGAUUAGAUACCCGAGUAGUC
rnacentral:rRNA from 1 species